CCUACGGGAGGCAGCAGUGGGGAAUAUUGGGCAAUGGGCGCAAGCCUGACCCAGCAACGCCGCGUGAAGGAAGCAGGCUUUCGGGUUGUAAACUUCUUGGAAGAGGGAAGAGCAGAAGACGGUACCACUUGAAUAAGCCACGGCUAACUACGUGACAGCAGCCGCGGUAAUACGUAGGUGGCAAGCGUUGUCCGGAUUUACUGGGGGUAAAGGGCGUGCAGCCGGGAAGACAAGUCAGAUGUGAAAUCCCGCGGCUCAACCGCGGAUCUGCAUUUGAAACUGUUUUUCUUGAGUACCGGAGAGGUCAUCGUAAUUCCUUGUGUAGCGGUGACAUGCGUAGAUAUAAGGAAGAACACCAGUGGCGAAGGCGGAUGACUGGACGGCAACUGACGGUGAGGCGCGAAAGCGUGGGGAGCAAACAGGAUUAGAUACCCCAGUAGUC
rnacentral:rRNA from 1 species